UCCUUUCUUUCUUUGUUCCGUCCUUCCUUUCUUUCUUUUUCUUUCCUUCCAACUUUCUUUCCUUUCUUUCUUUGUUCCUUCCUUCCUUUCUUUCUUUUUCUUUCUUUCCUUCCAUCUUUCUUUCUUUCCUUUCUUUCUUUCCUUCCCUUCUUCCUUCCUUCCUUCCUUCCUUUCUUUCUUUCUAUUCUUUCUUUCUUUCUUUCUUUCUAUUCUUUCUUUCUUUCUUACCUUCCUUUCUUUCUUUUCUUUCUUUCUUUCUUUCCUUUUUUUCUUUGUUCCUUCCUUCCUUCCUUUCUUUUUCUUUCUUUCCUUCCACCUUUCUUUUCUUUCUUUCCUUUCUUUCCUUUCUUUCCUUUCUUUCCUCCCUUUCUUUCUUUUCUUUCUUUCUUUCCUUUCUUUCUUUUUUCCUUCCUUUCUUUUUCUUUCUUUCCUUCCGUCUUUCUUUCNNNNNNNNNNUCCUUCCUUCCUUCCUUUCUUUUUCUUUCUUUCCUUCCGCCUUUAUUUCUUUCUCUCCUUUCUUUCUUUCCUUCCCUCCUUCCCUUUCUUUCUUUCUUUCUUUCUUUCUUUUCUUUCUUUCUUUCCUUUCUUUCUUUGUUCCGUCCUUCCUUUCUUUCUUUUUCUUUCCUUCCAACUUUCUUUCCUUUCUUUCUUUGUUCCUUCCUUCCUUUCUUUCUUUUUCUUUCUUUCCUUCCAUCUUUCUUUCUUUCCUUUCUUUCUUUCCUUCCCUUCUUCCUUCCUUCCUUCCUUCCUUUCUUUCUUUCUAUUCUUUCUUUCUUUCUUUCUUUCUAUUCUUUCUUUCUUUCUUACCUUCCUUUCUUUCUUUUCUUUCUUUCUUUCUUUCCUUUUUUUCUUUGUUCCUUCCUUCCUUCCUUUCUUUUUCUUUCUUUCCUUCCACCUUUCUUUUCUUUCUUUCCUUUCUUUCCUUUCUUUCCUUUCUUUCCUCCCUUUCUUUCUUUUCUUUCUUUCUUUCCUUUCUUUCUUUUUUCCUUCCUUUCUUUUUCUUUC
rnacentral:lncRNA from 1 species